rnacentral:rRNA from 1 species
UACGUAGGGUGCGAGCGUUAAUCGGAAUUACUGGGCGUAAAGCGUGCGCAGGCGGUUUUGCAAGCCGGAUGUGAAAUCCCCGGGCUUAACCUGGGAAUGGCAUUUGGGACUGCAAGGCUGGAGUGCGGCAGAGGAGACUGGAAUUCCUGGUGUAGCAGUGAAAUGUGUAGAUAUCAGGAGGAACACCGGUGGCGAAGGCGGAUCUCUGGGCCAUUACUGACGCUGAGGAGCGAAAGCGUGGGGAGCGAACAGG